rnacentral:rRNA from 1 species
AUUGAACGCUGGCGGCAUGAUUUACACAUGCAAGUCGAACGGCAGCGCGGGCUUCGGCCUGGCGGCGAGUGGCGAACGGGUGAGUAAUACAUCGGAACGUGCCCAGUAGUGGGGGAUAGCUCGGCGAAAGCCGGAUUAAUACCGCAUACGACCUGAGGGUGAAAGCGGGGGAUCUUCGGACCUCGCGCUAUUGGAGCGGCCGAUGGCAGAUUAGCUAGUUGGUGGGGUAAAGGCCUACCAAGGCGACGAUCUGUAGCUGGUCUGAGAGGACGACCAGCCACACUGGGACUGAGACACGGCCCAGACUCCUACGGGAGGCAGCAGUGGGGAAUUUUGGACAAUGGGCGAAAGCCUGAUCCAGCAAUGCCGCGUGUGUGAUGAAGGCCUUCGGGUUGUAAAGCACUUUUGGCGGGAACGAAAAGGACUGUGCCAAUACCACGGUUCGAUGACGGUACCCGCAGAAUAAGCACCGGCUAACUACGUG